rnacentral:rRNA from 1 species
GAUGAACGCUGGCGGCGUGCCUAAUACAUGCAAGUCGAGCGAACAGACGAGGAGCUUGCUCCUCUGACGUUAGCGGCGGACGGGUGAGUAACACGUGGAUAACCUACCUAUAAGACUGGGAUAACUUCGGGAAACCGGAGCUAAUACCGGAUAAUAUAUUGAACCGCAUGGUUCAAUAGUGAAAGACGGUUUUGCUGUCACUUAUAGAUGGAUCCGCGCCGCAUUAGCUAGUUGGUAAGGUAACGGCUUACCAAGGCAACGAUGCGUAGCCGACCUGAGAGGGGGAUCGGCCACACUGGAACUGAGACACGGUCCAGACUCCUACGGGAGGCAGCAGUAGGGAAUCUUCCGCAAUGGGCGAAAGCCUGACGGAGCAACGCCGCGUGAGUGAUGAAGGUCUUCGGAUCGUAAAACUCUGUUAUUAGGGAAGAACAAAUGUGUAAGUAACUAUGCACGUCUUGACGGUACCUAAGCAGAAAACCACGGCUAACUACGU